rnacentral:miRNA from 1 species
UUGUUUCCUUUUCUUUUUUUCC